rnacentral:misc_RNA from 1 species
AACCUUAUGGACCUGCGGGCGUAUACCUGCGGAGGGAUCAUUACUGAGUGCGAGCCCCCCGGGGCCGACCUCCAACCCCAUGUUAUCUGACCCUGUUGCCUCGGGGGCGACCCGGCCGUUUGGCCCCGGGGCCCCCGGUGGAAACCUAUCCAACUCUGCAUCUUUGCGUCUGAGUACAAACUAAAUCAAUCAAAACUUUUAACAACGGAUCU